AUGUCUCCUAGUGUUUUGACGAAACCUCAGGUGUAUGGCCUUCUAGCCAAGUACCUGUGGUUUCACAUUGUUGGAGCAUUUGUGGUAUUCUGGCUGGUGGCAGCUCUCUAUCAAAUUGCUGUGGCUGAACCAAGAAAGAAGGCAUACACAGAUUUCUACAGAAAUUACGAUUCCAUGAAAGAUUUUGAGGACAUGAGGAAGACUGGUACUUUUCAGAGUGCAAAGUGA
rnacentral:lncRNA from 1 species